rnacentral:lncRNA from 1 species
AGUCAAUUGAAAAAAAAAAUCCUGUGAAAGUGAGUUUGUUGAAUAUUGAAAUGGGCUCAAAGACCUCAGAAGAGUGAUACACCCAGUAGAGACUGAACACAGGAGAAGCAAUUUUUCCAGUUCAUAUCUGACUCUACUUGACCCUGUGGACCAUAUUCUCCAUGGUGUUUUCUUGGCAAAGUAUUUAGAAACCUACAUCCACAACAGAGGAGAAAUAUCUUUAAUGCUUAUGUCCCUAGCAUCUUCCGUUAAAUGAAAUGAUGGAUCUCUUUCUGGUCAAAGUAAAUAUAUAUGAGGAAAAUGAAGCAGUACAAUGAGGAA